AGGCCAUGGUGUGGGCAGACUCUUAACAGCUCUUUGUAUAUCUCUCAAGCUUCAAAAAUUGAUUCUCCUUGAUUUUGAGUAAAUCUAGUUAUUUGGUUUCGAAGAAA